rnacentral:rRNA from 1 species
AACAGACCAACCCUUUAAGGCUUCUGCACCUAUCAGGAUAUUCUAGUCCAACAUCGAGGUCACAAACCUUUUUUUCGAUAAGAGCUCUCAAAAAAGAUUAUGCUGUUAUCCCUACGGUAACUAAUUCUGUUAAUCGCAACGUGAAGCGGAUCUAAAUAAAUAAAUUUAGAUAAAUAAAAGAAGCUUUUACUGUUCCUUAGUCGCCCCAACCAAAAUUCUUUUAGAACCAAGAUACCUUAACGUCCUUUUUAUAUCUAAAAUGACUUUUAAGCUCGAUAGGGUCUUCUUGUCUUUUAAUUUAAUUUAGAUUUCUUCAUCUAAAAAAUAAGUUCCAGUAAUUUUUAUAGAGACAGAAAAGCCCUUGUCAAACCCCUCAUACUACCCCUCAAUUAUAGGGCAAAUGAUUAUGCUACCUUUGCACGGUCAGAGUACCGCGGCCGUUAAAUAAUG